AGAACCCCACCGAGGCUGAGCUGCAGGACAUGAUCAACGAGGUUGACGCAGAUGGUAAUGGAACCAUUGACUUCCCCGAGUUCUUGAAUCUCAUGGCCAGGAAGAUGAAGGACACUGAUUCCGAGGAGGAGCUAAAAGAGGCAUUCCGUGUUUUCGACAAGGACCAGAACGGUUUCAUUUCUGCUGCUGAGCUUCGCCAUGUCAUGACUAACCUAGGAGAGAAGCUGACCGACGAGGAAGUUGAUGAAAUGAUCCGAGAGGCUGAUGUGGAUGGUGACGGUCAAAUUAACUACGACGAGUUCGUUAAGGUCAUGAUGGCCAAGUGAUUGCACCCCCCACCCCUACACCCCCACCCACCCCACCUCUGAUAAAUCUUGAAAAGUUUUUUCUCGAAAGGUAAAAACUGAUGAACAGGGUUGAUUAAUAUUUCACUAGUUUCCUUUAAUUUAUUUUUUUUGGUUUGGUUGUUUGGUUUUGUGGUUGUUCAGUUCUUGAGUAGUGAAAACUAUGUGUUUGUAAUGGUGGUGGAAUUGGUUGUUUUAUUUUCUGAUUCAUGUAUUUUUGUGAUGCGGAUUUCAAGCAUUUUCUAGUUCGUUUUCUUUUCCUUCGAAUAUAUCAUUCUCGUUUGGGGUUUGUUGUUACCUAGGAAAGACUGUUUUACUCGUAUUACGUUCGGGCUUUAUGCAAGUGUUUCAUGUUGAAUCGGGGAUUUUGAUCUUGGUAUUAUGCCUCGUGUUUGCCUAUGUUCUAUCCUGGUGAAAAGCUCGCGAUUAGGUUUUUAUGUCCAGGAUCCAAUUUCAAUUCUCAGUCACUCAUGCAUGUUCCUUCUAAUCCAUAUUUGCUCCUUUGUAUUAUAGUUUACAAAAUAUUCGAUUAUUCAUUCGUCUAAGGGCGUAAAUGAGUUGAGGUCGAGUUGAGUUUGACAAAUUUGAUCGGCUCGAGCCCAAAUUAAAUUUGUUGAGCUCAAGCUCAUUUAAAGUUUUACUUCUAGUUUUUAUCUUAUUAUUAUUGUAGUAAUAUUUAUGCUAUAGUUAAAUGUAAUAAAUAAUAUACUAUCAUUCUGAUUCAUUAAAUUGGGCCAAUAAAUCCCAAGCUAGUCCACGAAUAAGGAACAAACAAGAAGCCCACAAAGUAAUAAAUUUUAAUUUUCUCCCAAUUAAAAAAGAAAAAAUUAUUGAGCAGCUUAGAGAGUGUGACGUGGCAGAGGCACGAAUGGAUGAUGGAUGAUUAAUUGAAGAGGGCCGCCAGCGUGUCGAUACCGCGUGACAACCGCGUUUCGCUAAUGGAAGAGAGAGAAAUAAGGAUCCCCUUCCCUUUUCUAAUUUUCAAUUUAAAAAUUAAAACAACCCCACCACUAGUCAAUGGGUUUUAAUAGUCUACGACUACGACACACGUACAAUCAUCAUUUUUAUUCCAUAUCAUAUUUUUUGGAAUAAUAGUUUAAUAUUUGAACUUAAUACUUUUGCAUUUUGAGUUUCAAAAAAUACAUUUUAUUACAUUGUUCAAUUUCGUAUUUCUUUUGUUAACAAAGUUUGUUUGUAAUUUUGUUUUAGCGAAGAACUAUUAAAUUAUAUUUUCUAAUAGAGUUCGAGUUCAAGAUUGAACCAAUUCUUAUGAAUAUUUAUAACCGAUGAAUUCAUAGAUAACUAAUGUAAUUUUGAUGAAUGAAUAUCUAUUCUUGUGCAAUAACAUGUAUAUCCAUUUAUAGGAUACAAACCACGUACGUGUGACAAAAUAAUGUGUCUUUGCGUACUCUCACUCCACUAAUUAAGUCAGUCCUACGAGCGCAGAUAUUCUGUAUCAUCAAAAGAAAUACAUCUUCAAAUUUGGUUCGUUGAUUUAUAAAACGGAUUUUUAAUAAUUAACAUAGCCUUGAUAUAGAGAGUGUUUGGCUAAGCUUAUACCCUGUUAAAACGAACGUUUAUAAGCUCCUACAAAUUAUUUGGUAAUUAUUUAAAAAAAAAAUAAAAAAAAUAAGCAGUUGAAAUAGCCAAUAAGAUAUUAAAAAAAAAAAAAAAAACUAUCUCUAAAAUUAGCUUAUAAGAUCACUAUUCAAACACUUUAAAAUUAAUUCUAAAACUAAGACGUAACAACUUAUCAACUCUUAAGAUAGCUACGUUAUCAAAUGUAAUAGCUUAUUGGUUGUUUAAAAUAAAUUUAGCCAAACAUAUUUUCGGUUCUAAGUCGAACACAAAAUUGUCAAUUUUCUAAAGUGCUAUUUGUAAUAAAAUAUAAAAUUUUCCAAUAAGAAACUAACAAGGGAGAAAAAGGAAAUACUAGAAAAAAGAAUAUUACAUAACAUACAAUAAUUUGAAACGAAGAAGGUGAAAAAAAGAGGGAUUACGAAAAUAGUGGAUGUAAUUAGUUUGUUAAUUACCACAUUUCUCUUUGCCGUUGAAUUGUGUCUCUUUUGUAGCUCAUAAAUAACGCCUCUUUCAUUCUUCCUACAAAUACGACCCCCAAUCACCUCUCUCCAGAAUCAUCUCUCUCUUUCUCUCUCUAGUUCUUCUGUAAAUCAAAGGAAAAAAGGAAACAAAGCCGCUGAAUUUCGAAGCAAUCAACAAAAGGAGAAAUGGCGGAUCAGUUGACCGACGACCAGAUCUCUGAGUUUAAGGAAGCUUUCAGCCUUUUCGACAAGGAUGGCGAUGGUUCGAUUCGAUCCGAUUAUGUUUUUUUUUUUUCAUUAUAAACUGCAUAAUUUCUUCUAUGAAAACGUGUUAUACAUCUCUGUGUGUGUGUGUGUGUUUGGAUAUGGUUUUUUUCUGUUGUUUUGUUUAGAUCUGAUUUCCUUUUUGAAGCGGUAUUUAGCUGUAGGAUUUUCCUUUGAUAUGAAGAAUUUUCCAAUUUUACUGCAAUUGUUCUUUUGUUAUGUGAAUUAAUGCAUUUUGAUUCAGCGAUGUUUUUUUUUUUUAAAUAAUUAUUUUUAUUAAAUUUUAUUCUGUUCUGUAUUUAGUUAAGGAAAUUUGAGGUAUUAUUUGAAAUUGAUGUGAAUUUAUCUCAGGAAAUAUAUUAUCUGUUGAGGUGAAAUCUUCCAUGAUGAAUUUAAUCAUCUUUGAUUUACGAUGAUAGAUUUAUUCGUAAGGCUUACAGAUUAAUUUGGUUUGAUACAUGAAGAGAGAAACUGUUUGGGGGUGAGAGAGAGGUUAAAUACCACGAUUCUUCGUGUUAUUCCGACCUUUUCUUGGUUGGGUCAUAGGUAACACAAUUUUGGUUUACUGUAGGGAUCAAAUCUGUAUCUUGAUUUUGCGUUUAGAAAAUCCUUUAUUUUGGAUUCGUAACACGCAGAUGAGAAUGCCAAGUGGAAUACUGUGUCGGAAAAUGCUAUUCCCAAUUGCAAAAUCUUGUUUAUGAUUGUGGGGUUCGUUUUUUUAACUGGCGUUUGUAUUAAGUAUAUAAAUUGAUGCGCCUUUAAUUGUUGUACUUGAUCUAGAUCACUUGAAUUUAUUGCAUCCGUUGCGGUGGUCAACAUCUGCUGUGUGUUUAUUAAGAUGCUAUCUGCUAACACAAUUCGACUUAACUUAUCGAAUUUCGAAUGUUCGAGUUUCGCAAUUAAUUUCAUUCAACAUUUGCAGGUUGCAUCACGACAAAGGAGCUCGGAACUGUGAUGAGAUCACUUGGGCAGAACCCCACCGAGGCUGAGCUUCAGGACAUGAUUAACGAGGUUGAUGCAGAUGGUAACGGAACAAUUGACUUCCCCGAGUUUUUGAACCUCAUGGCAAGGAAAAUGAAGGACACUGAUUCUGAGGAGGAACUAAAAGAGGCAUUCCGUGUGUUCGACAAGGACCAAAACGGUUUCAUUUCUGCUGCUGAGCUUCGCCAUGUCAUGACUAACCUAGGCGAGAAGCUUACCGAUGAAGAAGUCGAUGAAAUGAUCAGAGAAGCUGAUGUGGAUGGUGACGGUCAAAUCAACUACGAAGAGUUUGUUAAGGUUAUGAUGGCCAAGUGAUGC
rnacentral:lncRNA from 1 species